UGCAUGGUAUCUACCUAUUGUUUUCACAGCUCAUUUGAAAACCGUGAAUCCAGGUGCAGAGUAGGCCUAAUCCAGAGAAAAUGGUGAAGUCAGGUUCAUUGUGUCUUCUCAUGCUCACAUUCGGUGUGUGCACCAAUGCCCAGGAUGCAUUGUAUCCAUUUGGAUCAGCUGCAGGGGAUUCCUUCUUGACUGGUCACCAACAGGUGACCCUGCUACAGCCACUCCCUUACUUCA